UUAAGAAGAACAGGAAGGUUAAGAAAUCAGGUUGGUUUCUUCAGAAUAUACAGAUAUGAUAGCACACUUAAUAUUGCAUAGCACUCUUCCCAACCUGUGAUAGUCACCCUUCAUCUUGAGGUAGAAGACCUUUGAUUCGGCAGCAGUAGAAGAAGGCACUAGGUGGGAGUCAAGUAGCUUCAGGAUACCAUCACAGAUGUUGCUCAGUUCAGCCUCAAUCUUCCCACGGUAUUCCUUGAUAAGGUUCACAUGCUCUUCGUUCUUACGAGACUCCUCCUUCUGUUCAAUGGAAGAGACAAUGCGCCAUGAAGCACGGCGAGCCCCAAUGACAUUCUUGUAUGC
rnacentral:lncRNA from 1 species